UGUCAGAAACAGAUGUUGGCCAGGCAGGAUGGCUCAGUGGGUAGAGAGCACUUGCUGCCAAGCCUGAGCUCAACCCUUGGGUCUCACGUGGCAGAAGCAGAGAACUGAUUCCUCCAAGUUGUCUGUUGUCUCCCACAACAUAUGGUGUGCUUGUGCAUCCACACACUAGAGUUAAAUCAUAGGAAAUGAGUAACUUCAGUCAAACAGCCUGGUAAGAGAAGGGAGGAGUAGGCUUAGAAUUGUGCCAGCAUUGUCUGGAAAUUGGAGCCUGACUGAACUGCAUGCUUUUGCUAGAUCAGGAGCAAUAGCUGCUCUUCUGUGCCAUCAGGUCAUGGUCACGAGUGGCACUGCUUUUUCCAGAUAGACACACAGGACUCAAAGCACAUUUGAGCAACACUAGUUUUGUCUUUCAGUAAGCUUGCAUAGAGGUCUAAGCCUGGCCAAAUGGUAGCUCAGGUGUGAGGAACACACAGGAGCCACCUGACUAAGAAACAGAGUUUGCUGUGGGAAACAGUACUAAUAUAUAUGACAUAUUCUCAUGGCUCACAGGUCCCAAGCAGGGGAACUAAGGCAUCAUAGACUACUGUAAUAUGCCAGAUACGUACUGAUAACCUGACCCCUUACAUGAAAUUGUCCAGUAUUUUUGGGCUUCAACUGUACCUGACUCCAUGUUUUUCUUACCUGUUCACGUCUUUGUUUCUAAGGGCAAGGGCAAUUUUUCUCCCACUUGUUUAUUUAUUUUGACCUCCACUGUAUAUUGACUUCUUUCACCAGUGAGUAGAUACGUAAUGUGUUUUUGUGAAUGCACUGAAACGGAAGGAGAGUUGAAGAGGUGCAGGCCAAAUGGCCUCAGCCUCUAACUUCCUGGAAAAUGCGUGCAGUGCUGAGAUGGCUCUGUGAUAAAUGCCUUGCAGGCCCGAGUCUGGAUGCCCAGAACCAUAUAAAAAGCCAUGUAGACAUGGUGGCCACCUAUACUCCCCGAAUUCAUGAGGCUAGGGGCAGAGAGAUGCCUGAGAAAAGCUGGUUAUGGACUAGCCAGACAAGGGACUCCAGGUUCAGCUACAGUCCUUGUGUCAAUGUAGAGCAAUUUGAGGAAAGACACACGCCAACCUGAGGCCUACAUACUCAUGCACGUGCGUGUGUGAGCGCACACAAACACACACAUAAGCACACCAGCCAUGUACAACUUCAAAUAGUAGCUAAUGUUAAAAUCUGCUUUUGAAAUAAGGUCUACAUAGUCCUGGCUGCCCUGGGACUUGCUACAUUGUAUCAGGCUGGUCUCAAAGGCUGGUCAGAGAUGUACCUGCCUCUGCCCCUCCAGUGCUGAGGAUUAAAGGCAUGUACCAAGUUCUUUUGAGACAGUCCUGGAACUCACUCUGUAAACCAGGCUGGCCUCGAACCAGAAAUCCGCCUACCUCUGCCUCCCAAGUGCUGGGAUUAAAGACGUGUGCCACCACUGCCUGGCAUCAAGUUCUUUUAAAUGUCAGUUUCAAGUAGGUGGUUAAGGGCUCUGUUUGCUGUUACAGAGUACUCGUGGACAUUAAUAAAUCUU
rnacentral:lncRNA from 1 species